CGACGGCGCGUGAUGCUGUCAGCUGUGAUGGACACUGUUCCAUUUUGUAUUAACGGUAUUGUCAUCGUUUUCAAAACACAAUUUCUGUGAAAAAGACUGUGGAAAGUUAUAAAGACUUAUUUUUUGACUGCAACCAAUUAUAGUAGCCUACUAUGAAUACAUUUCACAGCUGACCUUUAUAAUAACCAUUGAACCUAUCUUCAGGCGUGUUUCAAUUCUUAAUCAAAUAAAUCUAUGAUGAUUUUGAAUGCAGCAUCUAUUAAAGUCCAAAUGAAUUAUUAUUCCACUAAUAGAUAGACAGUUUUGCUGCAAGCGACGACGUCGGAAGUUCAUUAAGCAAGCUUCCAUAUUAAUUAAUACUCGGUGAACAUUAGACGACUUCCCGGGCCUGAGAGUCGACGAGAAAAUUAAUACAACCUACCCAACUAACAACUAAUUCAUACAAAUAUUCUUGAAAUUAAAGUAACGUUUUCGGAUA